AGCAGCCGCGGUAAUUCCAGCUCCAAUAGCGUAUAUUAAAGUUGUUGCAGUUAAAAAGCUCGUAGUUGAAUUUCGGGAUCAAAGGAUCGGUCAUGCCUUGGUAUGUACUGGUUUUAUUGGUUCUCACCUUCUAAAGAACCAUAAUGUCAUUCAUUUGAUGUUAUGGGGAAUUAGGACUGUUACCUUGAAAAAUUAGAGUGUUUAAAGCAGGCUUACGCUUGAAUACAUUAGCAUGGAAUAAUGAAGUAGGACGUUUGAUCCUAUUUUGUUGGUUUCUAGGAUCGACGUAAUGAUUAAUAGGGAUAGUUGGGGGCAUUAGUAUUCAAUUGUCAGAGGUGAAAUUCUUGGAUUUAUUGAAGACUAACUACUGCGAAAGCAUUUGCCAAGGAUGUUUUCAUUAAUCAAGAACGAAAGUUAGGGGAUCGAAGACGAUCAGAUACCGUCGUAGUCUUAACCAUAAACUAUGCCGACUAGGGAUCGGAUGAUGUUAAUUUUUAAUGUACUCAUUCGCGCCUUACGG
rnacentral:rRNA from 1 species